UACAGAGGCCUCGAGCGUUAGGCGGAAUCACUGGGCUUAAAGCGCGUGUAGGCGGACCCCUAAGUACCUUGUGAAAUCCCACGGCUCACCCGUGGAACGGCUGGGUAUACUGGGGGUCUUGAGUCACCUAGGGGCGAGUGGAACAAAUGGUGGAGCGGUGAAAUGCGUAGAUAUCAGUUGGAACGCCAAUGGUGAAAACAACUCGCUGGGGGUGUGCUGACGCUGAGACACGAAAGCCAGGGGAGCGAACGGG
rnacentral:rRNA from 1 species